rnacentral:lncRNA from 1 species
AGAAGGAAAGAGUAAGUAACAAGAAAAAGCUGGGGAGAGAGAUGGUCCCAGGAUGGGGACAUUCUGAGUACACUUUGAACAGGUUUGUCUGCUUUUCUUUCAGAAAAGCGCAGUCUCCCUGUAAUGAGGGAGAUGGGGUGAUGUUUCGGAUGCCACCUGGUGGCCAAGGCAGGUAAAGCACUUUUGUAGCCUCUGUUGGUCUGUGUCUCAGGUGGAGAGGAAAAGAGUGGAGAAUUUGAUUGGGUUUUGGGGGUCCUCUUCCUCCCUGUCAUACAGCAUACAUUGGAGGAAUCCUUACUACCAAAAUUAAUGCUUAAACUUUCCUCCUUUAAAACCAGCACCAUAGUUUCAUCUACAUCUAUGAUAUGCUACUCCUGAAUUAACUGGUCCAUCUUUUUGUCAGACUAUUUUUCAUAAAGUAGAACUUUGAUUUCAUUUCUCUGUUCAGAAAUUAUUUUUGUCUUUCUAUUGCAUAAUGAGUCAACAACUGGCAUUUCAGGCCUUCCAUCUUUGCUCCCAGCUCUUGUAGGAGUCUCACUUCUGAUUCUUUAGCCAAGGUGGAACUGGCCUUCUGGAAAGGUCUGUAGUCCUCCUCACUGUCUGCUCUUGUUUGUGCUGCUUUUCCUGGAUGCAAACAGAGAGGAAGCCAGUAUCUUGACUAUGAAAAUACUGAUUGCAAAGACUGAUUUCACCAGAGUUGUCUCUCUGAUCUUCCAUUUCUUUGCCUGUAAAGCAGAGAUUAGAAAAACCCCACCCCAGAAGAUCCCGUGAGGAUUAACUAAUCUCAUGCACUGUAAAAUGUCUGGCCUUUGGAGAGUUAAUAAAUGGCAACUACACUUUAUUUUUGUUUCUUCAAACAUCACCCGCCGUUCAAAGUACACUCAAUGGCCAUUUCCUUCCAAAUUCCCUUCCUGACCCUCCCACUUCCUGGCCCAAUCAUUCUCCUUCCUCUGCACCACUCUGAGCCUCUGUCCCUCAAGCUGCUGUUCCCACACUUGUCACACAGUCCACCCAUACUCCUCCCAGCUGGGAUCUCUAUGGAAGUGGCCAUCAGUACAGUGUCUUGGUGCCACACGGGUGGCUUCCAUGUCAAGGAUGGAAGUGGAGAGCUGGUGCCGUAAAGACCAGCAGCCAGGAAUUGCUCUGAGUCUGGGAUCAAAAUGAGCCUCAAGUCUCAGAGCUACUGACUAAUGGCUUUUUGGAAAUAAUUGUUUUUCUAAAUAUGACAAUACUCAUGAUCAUUGCAGGUAAAAGAAUGAACAAGAUAAAAAGCACCUGUAAUUGCAUCAACCAGAGAUGACCACCCAUAAUUUCUGAUUAGCUUUACUCUCUGUAUUCCUGUAAGUAUAAUAUACACAUAAAAUUUACUUUCUGUUACAUGGUAGGUGUGUAUUCCAGCAUCUUCUCCACAACUUGUGAGGAGCAUUUUUACAUUUCACUAAAUAUCAUCCAUCAACAUUGUUAUCUCUGCAUAUUUGCUCAUUGUAUGAGUAUGCCAUAAUUUUUAAACUUUUUUAUCAUUGUAUAUUUAGGUGUCCCUUUUUUGGCUUUGAAAGAAAUUGUUAUCAAAGAUGCUUACAGAAAUAUCAGAAUGCUUCUUGGAUUUGUGAUUAUGGGAAUGAAGAAAAAAAGUUCUUGCUUCUGAAUGCAUGCUCAGGAAACUGUUACUUGCUGAGUGGUUUCACCAGCUGCUCUAGCUGUUUCAUGAAUGUCCAUCUCUUUCCCAGGUUCUGAGGAGACAACCCAGCUUAGAAAUGGAAAAGUGGUUGGAUCUGUGUUUGCAAGAAUGGAUGGGCUGCAGAGGUCACAUUCCAGUGACCGUGUGGGCUCUGGGUGCUGCGUACACUUUCUUGCAGUGCUAUAGCUAUCUGAUCUCUUUGUUCCAUCUUGUAACUUAGUUUGUUCCUCUAUGCUUAUUAGCAAUAAAAUAUUUUUGACUCUCAGAAAACCUUGUUUGUUGCAGGGACAAGAAACCAGAAAAGAAGUAGAAAUCAUCAUUCCACUCCUGUAGCUGCAGAAAGUGGCUGUCCUGUUGUGUGUCCUCAGAGCUCCCUGUGUCUCUCCCUCACAGUACUUUGUGUGACUACAUGACAUAAAUUACUUGUGUACGUGUCACCUUCCCUAUCACAAUCUAAGUUCCGCACAGCAGGGCCACAUGGUCUUGUUUGCAGCUUUGUCUCUGGAGCUAAGCAUCAGACUGGACUUACCGCUGGUGCUCAGUACGUAGUUCGGCUAUGAAUUCAGACUGAAUGAGGACUCCACUUGGAAGGAUGUGUGUCACAUCCAGUCAUAGGGCCAUCGGAGACUGGGACAGGAAGAUGUCUUGAGUGACAACUCUGAGACUCUGAAAUGGUGCUGGCAGAGUGUACUCAAAAGGAUGUCCUAGAGCUCCAAUCUGUCCUAUUCACGGGCUUUGGACAUACAGCCAGCUGUGCCAGGGUUGGAAGUGGGUGUUGGUGACUGGUUCUGCAAGUAAGAAGAAUCACCUUCUAUAGAGUGCUCUUCCCCAGGCCCUGUGGACAUUCUCUUUCUCUUGCAUGCUUUUCUUAACUCUCUGGUCCGGAUGCCUUGCAUCUGCCUUUCAAAUGCACAUGGAGCCCUUUCCAUCCCCACUCCACCAAGUCUAACAUCAGAAAUCCUCAUUUCUGCAUUUCUGUAGGAGAAGCUAUAGGAAGAGCUGACAGUUCUAGCUGCAUCAGGCAGGAACUCUGCUGAGAAGUGAUAGUGCUGAUGGAUUACUUGGGUGUUCAUGAGCACGUGGCAUCUCAUCACACUCAGCAGGGAGGCAGGAUCAUGGCCACAGAACAAGUUUCCAUGGACUCAGGGAACUGAAGACUUACUUCCUUAUUUCUGUUGCUGGCAUCAUCUGUCUCCCACAUUGGUUUGAUUGGUUCCCCAAUCUGUGGAAAUCUUCCAUAGAAGACAUGGACAGAUAGAUGUGGAUAUCCAGGAGAAUCCUCUAGAAAUGGAAAGGAAGCUGUAGAUCUCAUUCAAAAAGAAUCCCUUUGGGGACAUGGAAAAUGCAAAAUGUAUUCAACAGGACUUGUGAAAUAGGGGCAAUGAUGGGAGGGAAGGAGGAGGAUAAAGUGAGUCAUUUUGAUGAGUAGAUGGGACUCUUCCAGCCUAUUUUCUUGGUUUCCUAGGUAGGGAGAGCUGCCACAGGACUUCAUAAACCACAACUUUCCAAUGAGUGUGGUUGGUUCAUUUUGAUGUAUUGAGCAGCAG